CCUAGGGCCGCUCCAGUGGGGAAUAUUGCACAAUGGGCGCAAGCCUGAUGCAGCCAUGCCGCGUGUAUGAAGAAGGCCUUCGGGUUGUAAAGUACUUUCAGCGGGGAGGAAGGGAGUAAAGUUAAUACCUUUGCUCAUUGACGUUACCCGCAGAAGAAGCACCGGCUAACUCCGUGCCAGCAGCCGCGGUAAUACGGAGGGUGCAAGCGUUAAUCGGAAUUACUGGGCGUAAAGCGCACGCAGGCGGUUUGUUAAGUCAGAUGUGAAAUCCCCGGGCUCAACCUGGGAACUGCAUCUGAUACUGGCAAGCUUGAGUCUCGUAGAGGGGGGUAGAAUUCCAGGUGUAGCGGUGAAAUGCGUAGAGAUCUGGAGGAAUACCGGUGGCGAAGGCGGCCCCCUGGACGAAGACUGACGCUCAGGUGCGAAAGCGUGGGGAGCAAACAGGAUUAGAUACCCCGGUAGUC
rnacentral:rRNA from 1 species